GCUACGAGCGGCUGCAGUGAGGAAUAUUGGUCAAUGGACGCAAGUCUGAACCAGCCAAGUAGCGUGCAGGAUGACGGCCCUCCGGGUUGUAAACUGCUUUUAGUUGGGAAUAAAAGGGGGCUCGUGAGCCCCGUAUUGUAUGUACCAUCAGAAAAAGAACCGGCUAAUUCCGUGCCAGCAGCCGCGGGAAUACGGAAGGUCCGGGCGUUAUCCGGCUUUAUUGGGUUUAACGGGAGCGUAUGCCGGCUUUUAAGACAUCUGGGAAAGUCCGUUGAUUAACCGUGGAAUUGCAGUUGAAACUGGAGGCCUUGAGUGCACACAGGGAUGCUGGAAUUCAUGGUGUAGCGGUGAAAUGCAUAGAUAUCACGCAGAACGCCGAUUGCGAAGGCAGCAUACCGGCGCCCAACUGACGCUGAAGCACGAAAGCGUGGGUAUCGAACAGGAUUAGAUACCCCUGUAGUC
rnacentral:rRNA from 1 species